ACGCUCGACACCUACGGGGGCAGCAGUGGGGAAUAUUGCACAAUGGGGGAAACCCUGAUGCAGCGACGCCGCGUGAGUGAAGAAGUAUUUCGGUAUGUAAAGCUCUAUCAGCAGGGAAGAAAAUGACGGUACCUGAGUAAGAAGCCCCGGCUAACUACGUGCCAGCAGCCGCGGUAAUCUGAGCGGGCUGGCAAGGC
rnacentral:rRNA from 1 species